rnacentral:rRNA from 1 species
GAUGAACGCUGGCGGCGUGCCUAAUACAUGCAAGUCGAGCGAACAGAUGAGGAGCUUGCUCCUCUGACGUUAGCGGCGGACGGGUGAGUAACACGUGGAUAACCUACCUAUAAGACUGGGAUAACUUCGGGAAACCGGAGCUAAUACCGGAUAAUAUAUUGAACCGCAUGGUUCAAUAGUGAAAGACGGUUUUGCUGUCACUUAUAGAUGGAUCCGCGCCGCAUUAGCUAGUUGGUAAGGUAACGGCUUACCAAGGGAACGAUGCGUAGGCGACCUGAGAGGGUGAUAGGCGACAGUGGAACUGAGCCGCGGACCAGGGUACUACGGGAGGCACCAGGAGGGAAUGUUGGGCAAUGGGCGAAAGUAUGACGGAGCAACGCCGCGUGAGUGAUGAAGGUCUUCGGAUCGUAAAACUCUGUUAUUAGGGAUGAACAAAUGUGUACGGAAAUAUACACGUAGUGACGGUAACUAAUAAGAAAGCCACGGCUAACUACGUG